AAGGUCGCUCCCAGCGAUGACGUCUUCGUGCUGUCCGGGGACGCUGCCAACGCCCCCGUCUCCAAGAAGCCCGCAAGCAAGCAGCCCAAGGAGGCUAUGCUGGCUGGCCGCAAGUUUGCCGCAGCG
rnacentral:SRP_RNA from 13 species